rnacentral:rRNA from 1 species
AUGAACGCUGGCGGCGUGGAUAAGGCAUGCAAGUCAAGGGGGCCCGCAAGGGCAACCGGCAAACGGGGUAGUAACAGGUGGGAACGUACCAAGAAGUCGUGAAUAACCAGUCGAAAGAUUGGCUAAUACACGAUAGUCCCUUCGGGGUAAAGAUUUAUCGCUUCUUGAACGGCCUGCCUCGUAUCAGCUAGUUGGUAGUGUAAUGGACUACCAAGGCUAUGACGCGUAGGGGAGGUGAGAGCCUGACCCCCACCACUGGAACUGAGACACUGUCCAGACACCUACGGGUGGCUGCAGUCGAGAAUCUUCCGCAAUGCACGAAAGUGUGACGGAGCGACGCCGCGUGGUUGAUGAAGCACUUCGGUGCGUAAAGGCCUUUUAUGAGGGAAGAAGUUUUGACGGUACCUCAUGAAUAAGAGGCUGCUAAUCUCGU